AAAUUUGAAAUGGCUGAAGGGUCGCUGACGGGCGGCGGUCUGGAGGCAGCUGCUAUGGCGCCGGAGCGCACGGGCUGGGCGGUAGAGCAGGAGCCAGCGUCUCUGGAGAAAGGUUUGUUCCAAGAUGAAGAUUCAUGCAGUGAUUGUAGCUACCGUGAUAAACCAGGCUCUAGUUUACAAAGUUUUAUGCCAGAAGGAAAAACCUUUUUCCCAGAAAUUUUCCAAACAAAUCAACUUUUGUUCUAUGAGCGAUUCAGAGCCUAUCAAGAUUACAUUUUAGCUGACUGCAAGGCCUCUGAGGUACAGGAAUUCACAGCUGAGUUCUUGGAGAAGGUCCUUGAGCCAUCUGGAUGGCGGGCAGUCUGGCAUACUAAUGUGUUCAAGGUGCUGGUUGAGGUCACAGAUGUGGACUUUGCAGCCUUGAAGGCAGUGGUGAGGCUUGCUGAACCAUACCUCUGUGACUCUCAAGUGAGCACUUUUACCAUGGAGUGCAUGAAGGAGCUCCUCGAUCUGAAGGAGCAUCGGUUGCCCCUGCAGGAGCUGUGGGUGGUGUUUGAUGAUUCAGGAGUGUUUGACCAGACAGCUCUUGCAAUUGAGCAUGUCAGAUUUUUCUACCAAAAUAUUUGGAGGAGUUGGGAUGAAGAAGAGGAGGAUGAAUACGAUUAUUUUGUCAGAUGUGUUGAGCCUCGAUUAAGAUUGCAUUAUGACAUUCUUGAAGACCGAGUUCCAUCAGGACUUAUUGUUGACUACCGCAAUCUGUUGUCUCAAUGUGAGGAGAGUUACAGGAAAUUUUUAAAUCUGAGAAGCAGUUUGUCAAAUUGUAACUCUGAUUCCGAGCAGGAAAAUAUCUCCAUGGUGGAAGGGUUAAAAUUGUAUUCGGAGAUGGAACAACUGAAACAAAAGCUGAAACUCAUUGAGAAUCCUUUGUUGAGGUAUGUGUGUCUUUGUAAUUCUUAGUCAGCAUCUUUUCUUACUUGCUGUCUUACUGAUAGGCCUGUUUCGUUUCUUUAAGGUAUGUGUUUGGUUAUCAGAAGAAUUCUAAUAUCCAAGCAAAGGGUGUCCGUCCCAGUGGUCAGAAGAUCACUCAUGUGGUCUCUUCCACCAUGAUGGCUGGUCUCCUGCGGUCCCUGCUCACGGACAGGCUUUGCCAGGAGCCUGGUGAGGAAGAAAGAGAAAUUCAGGUAAACAGAGAGUUUCUCACUCCAGGUGGCUUUUUUUUCUUCUGAUUCACCACAGGUUUUCACAAAUCCCACAAAGUAUUUACAGGAGCUUUCCCAAGAUGUUUUUCUGUGCAUGGGAAGUAGUGAGAGCCCUGCCUUUCGUCAGCAGUAGUCACUUACCAGGCAUGUGUUAGGUCAGUGCACUAUCAAAGGAGAUGCUUCAAUAUGCAGUUUUUGGCUUCCAUUUUCAAAGUAAGACAUGAAGGCACCUAGAGUAAUACCCAAAUUACUUUUUUGGGAGUGUAUAUUUACAAAUGUGUUCUUAUUGUUUUCUAGUUCCAUAGUGAUCCAUUGUCUGCUAUAAAUGCCUGCUUUGAAGGUGACACUGUUAUUGUUUGUCCU
rnacentral:sRNA from 1 species